AUGCAAGUUCCUAGACAUACUUAAAUUUACAUAUGUGAAUACAAGUAUCAACAAAGUUCUUAUCUUCUCGAAAUUGAAUAAAAAGAGAAAUUUAUAGCUUCCAAGAAAGAGAGAGAGAGAAGCCUCAAUAUUACCACAUGCACAAGUUCUCCACUUAACCGAAUCUCUAGCAACACUGCGCCCCCUUAACAUAGUCCCUCAUGCUGUAGUGACCGCCAACCAUAAAAUGAUUUCAUUGCUAUUUUGUAACUGUACUUUUGCUACUGUUAAGAAUCAUAAAUAUCAGCUGGGCGUGGUGGCACACGCCUUUAAUCCCAGCACUUGGGAGGCAGCAGCAGGUGGAUUUCUGAGUUUGAGGUCAGCCUGGUCUACAAAGUGAGUUCCAGGACAGCCAGGGCUUCACAGAGAAACCCUGUCUCGAAAAAAAAAAAAAAAAAAAAAAAAAAAAACAAAAAAAAAAUCAUAAAUAUUUAUAGAGACAGAGGUUCAAAGGUUUGCCAAAGGGGUCAUGACCCCACAGGUUGAGAAACACUCAUCUAGCAUCCACUGACAACACAGAAACAGCCUUCCUGAAUGACAUGUGCUCUGCUUUGCCCAACUGCUCCCCUGGAGUUGCCUGUGCUGAGAGACUGUCUGCAUGAGCUUCUGGGCCCUGGAUCUACUCAUUCUGGUCCCUCCCUGCCAGCCCCUGGGGAGGACACUGUGUGAUUGACUGCUUCCCUUCUCCAUCAUGCUAUAUUCUCAAUAUCCCCAUGUGUCUAUCAGAAUCACCUCCUAGCAUCCAUAUAAAUGAAAUGGAGAAAGGCAGGCUACUACAAUUAUUUACAUCCAUUGUGUGUGUGUGUGUGGACACAUGGGUGUAGGUGUUCUCGAGGGUGGGACUCUUUCUCUUUCCAGCAGCAGACAUAUACCUGGCUAGCAAAAAAAAGAAGAAGGAUGAAGAAGGAGAGGGGGGAAAAGUCUUUCCUAACUAUGUUAGGAUACGAUCCUAACAUAUCUAAGCAUCAGAAGUAUAUGGUCCCAUCAAGACCAGCUUAGGCAUAUUGGGUGACUCAUUAACACCCACAUUUGUGGCUCCUCUGGUCUUCUAACCAAGUAUUCUGGAAACAGUCACAGAAUCCCCAGUGAUGAUAUCUGGCCGGCUCUCCUCCAUCACGUGAAGAGCGUUCCUUACUCUGGGAGGCAGACCGUUCAUAUGAUGAUCUUCUCCGAGCCAGGUUCCAUAUUAAGCUCAUUUUAUAUUUGCUUUUCCAGUAGCUCAUUUGUCCUGGUAGCCACAUAAGUCACACUUACAUAGCACAGAGAUGUAGAACAGUCUUUCUUUUAUUUUAUUUUUUUUUUCAACUUGAGAAAAUUAAUGCUGGAUGAAUCAGUGUGUAAAUCUCUUAAGGCCAGGCCAUGUGAGAAUGAAUACGUGCCCAGGGUUGCAAAGCAAGGUCUGAAGAGUCACUCUGAGAGUGGACACAUUUCACGAGUGCUGCCUUGUCCUGUCAUGCUCUUGACAUGAGCCUCUUACAGCCUCUUGCAGUGUUCCUCUGUUUUAGGGGAGUCUUCGUUGGCCUGGUGAUAUUUUGGAGUGCCAUCUACAGCUAGCCACAUUAACUGAGCAGGGAAUGGCUGUCUUUUGCUUCUGAGAGCCUAGUUCUAGAACAUUCCUAUUCAAAAGGUCACUGAGCCCCUCCACUUGCUUGAGUUUUUCCAUUGUGUAUAUAAUUUGUCUUUUCCACAGGCAGGUAUAUUGGGGGGAAUUUUCCUUGUUGUAAGACAAAUAGGCAUCAUCUUGACCACUUUUGUAGGCAGAUUGCUUUAAAACAUUGAAGCAUAUAGAUAGCUCUUUACAUUUUUUAGUAUAUAGUUAAGACAUCAGAUAGGGAACACUUAAGAAAAAUGAUAAUUUGACCAGGAAGUCUGUGGAAUUGAGCCUAAGCCAAUGUAUUGUCAAUGUUUAAAACUUAGUUUUAUGGAUAUUUAGUUUUUUUCCUAAUUAAAAUGCUUGGCACCUCUCUUAUUAUUUGGUCAGUGUAGUUUUAUGUAUUCCUGGCAUAGCUGGCUUAUUCUGGUUUCUACACAAAAUGGGCACUUGGCCAACACCAGACCUGUAUAGUAGCUGGCUCAGGUGUUAUUACGGAGCCGUUUCCCUUGCUGCUUUCUGCCAUUAGACACUGUAGCUCCAGGCUACCCCUUCGCCUCCCUGACUGGCCCCACAGGUCUCCAGCAGCUCCAUACACUCCUAUCAUGAGGACCUUCUCUUUUAACCAUUGGUGAUUUAUGGUAUGUACUGGCUGCCAGACACACUCUCCACCUUCUGUGUGUGGAGGAAUUAACUCAGAUGUCUGAAACCAUCCUUUCUUCAUCUUGGGAUAGACUUGUUAAAGCCCUGUGGGCAGUGGAGACUGAGAGCGGCUUUGGGAAGCUGGCUAUGUGUGAGGUCCUUAAAGGGGAUUAUUCCCUCCCAUUAAAUCACAGCAAGCCAAAUGGUCAUUCUAAACAAAGACCAGGACUUAUAAAUGCUAAGUGAAAGUUUCUUUCUCUGCCCUUGGAGUGGGAGUCUUAAACAGUUUAUAAAUCAUUUCUCUCCUCAGCAUUCACAAGCCAUUUGUUGUUUUUGUUUGUUUUGAGACAGGGAAAGUUGGGCUCAGAUGUGCUGCCUGAGCCUGCCUCCUGGGUGCGAAGGUUACAAGUUAGAGCCAUCAUGCUCACAUUUAGAGAUGAAUUUUUUACUGGGUUGUUUUAUCAAUCUUUUUAAAAUAAUCUUGAUAUCCAAGAGUCAUCUUCCUUUUUCAGCAUUUUUUUCUACCAAGAGUCUAGAACAGUCCCCUAAAAGUGAGAGGAGAGCCUUUCAACCCUUCUGUGUAUUGAGAAAGAAUAUGAUGACUUGUUCAUUUCCAAAGUUGGGACUUCCUGCUCAGUGGGGGACACUGCUAUUAAAAGAAGGGCAAAGACACAGUGGUGAGUUAAAUAUACAAAAAAAAAAAAAAAUGGAAACUUACUGGAGAAUUUUUCCUUACUUUUUUCUUAUACUUUCCUUUCAUUU
rnacentral:lncRNA from 1 species